rnacentral:rRNA from 1 species
AUAGCGUAUAUUAAAGUUGUUGCAGUUAAAAAGCUCGUAGUUGAACUUCAGACCUGGCUGGGCGGUCAGCUUAUCGGCUUGUACUGUCUGGCUGGGCCUUACUUCUUGGUGAGCUGGUGUGCCCUUUAUUGGGUGCGUUGGUGAACCAGGACCUUUACCUUGAGAAAAUUAGAGUGUUCAAAGCAGGCCUAUGCCCGAAUACAUUAGCAUGGAAUAAUAAAAUAGGACGUGCGGUUCUAUUUUGUUGGUUUCUAGAGUCGCCGUAAUGAUUAAUAGGGAUAGUUGGGGGCAUUAGUAUUCAGUUGCUAGAGGUGAAAUUCUUGGAUUUACUGAAGACUAACUACUG